rnacentral:lncRNA from 1 species
CACGCCGUGGGCGGAAAAAAGGUGACGUCGGGGUAUUGUCUUCCAGGAGGAGAACUGGUUUUAGGAGAAAGAAAACGAGUUUGAUUUGGGAUACUUUGAGUUUUAUGAUGCCUGAGGGACAUACAUGUGGAGUUAUCACUAAGACGUUUGAAAGGAAAGGAUGCAUAUCUUCUUCAGAUUCUUAAAGGAGUUCAUGACUCUGAAAAGAGCAAGAACCACUGGUGUCAAGUAUAAAAGGAAAAGAGCCAAGGCUGAAUAAUGGCUUCCUGACAGAUGUGCAUGUCCUGAUCCCUGAAUCCUAUGGAUCGUUACCUUUCAAGGAUGGUACACCAAGAUGGCUAGGUGAAAACAGAGCACUGCCAGGCAGCCCCAAGGAAACGUACACCUCCACAGGAAGUUUUAUUAUUGGCUUCUGUGGAAGUGGGCACCCAGUUCACUGUGGAAGAGGGAUGGUGACAGAGAAUGCUUGUAUAUUUCCCAACUGUGAAGAGAAUGCUUUAUGAGGCGUGUGUUGCUGGUUUGCAGAAAUGGCUGUUUUUUGUCAUCACUUGCUGGGCUAGAUCAGGUCCUCUUCUAUGACUUUUUAAAGACCUCUGUUCACACAGCUGCUUUGGCAAGUCAGGAAUCAAACUGACAGCCCAUUGGAAAGGCAUACCCUGUCACAAGUCUAAAGAGAAACAGAGUGACAGUUCCCAGGCUCAAGUGCAAGGCGUGCCGCUCAAUCUUCUUUGGCUGGCUAGGAUCUUGGUUGAUGCAGGGCGCCGAUGCCAGACAGCAGAGGGCCUGGAGUAACAAAAACAAGGCCCCGCAAGCUACAAUAAGCAACUCCAUUCCAGUAUCGGGAAAAGAUCACUUAGGAAACCCUAAGAGUGAGAGUUUAUGAUGAUCAGGGUGGGAGGCAGGAGCAUUCACUGUUGAUCUGAGUUCUGCGAAAGGUAAGCAGAAGAUGUUUGCCAUCAAAUUGGUUCAAAGCGACUCAGUUCCACCCUUGUGAAUUCCACCCUUGUGAAGCCAGAGGAUGCAGCAGGGACACCAUGGCAACACACAUUUCCAUCAUUGUUCUCUUGGCUCUUCUCAGCCCCGAGGGCCUGUAUAAUGAGACCUUGACUCUCCUGGACUGCAUCGAAUUGUAAUGCACUUUAUUGUUCGGUGACUAUUUGGAUUUUAAUGCCAUCAUGCCCUGGAUGGCCUCGCCUGACAAUCUGGAAGCCUGAGGGAAAAGAUGACAUUUUCACCAGUAUUAUUAGGAAGGAUGGGAACAGGGCUCGCAUCUUUAAUUCACUGAGAUCUGUGUGUGGCUGAGAACACUGACGUGCCUGCGGGCAUAUGGCUUACAAUGUGGAGAUGGAUCUUAUUGCUGCUGGAAGCAUCCCUGAAGCCUAGAGAUAUCCCUCGCUCUCCUUUGGAUGUAGAGACAAGCAGAUCUGCGGAUGCAAGAUGAAACAGAUGGUGUCGCUUCCCUGCAGACUGUAGACUCAAGUGUGUGGAGAGUGAACACCGCAUCAAGCACGACCCUUGCUGUGCUUUCGAUUCUAUUGCAGUUAAUGUGGAUUCCAGCACAGUCAGCUCGAACCUGUGUGUCAUCAUUGUGUCUGUCUGGUUUCGUGGCUGACAAAGAGCUCAUGCUGUGCCAUUUACAGGUUGCCAAGAUUAAUAUUGCUGAGGAGAGAAGAGAGACAAAACUGACCUCAACUAGGGAGGGAGUGAGGGAUGAUAUGUGGAGAAGCUGGGUGAGCAUGUGCCCUGUGAAGGCAAAAAA